UCCUCAGACAUUCCUCCCUGGGAGGAUCCUUUCACUAGGGGCGGUGGGAACACCUUAAGCUCCCCCCUCCCCCUAUGUGCCCCAGGUGCAGCCAUAGAGAGGAAUGCCUGGAAGGUCUGACUCCAGCCAGUGGGCACCACUACCAGCCAGCGAGCCUGAGACAGCUGGGCUUUGAUCCUGCUGAUUGUGAAAAGGUCAAGAAUGAAGCCAAGUGAAGAACAAGCAGGGCAUCUGCGCUAGGUUGGAGCUUCUAAAUCCCAGGCCUGACUACCACAUCGAGACUACAGAUUCUGAGACUGUGAGGGACCGUCUAGGGAGAAGCAACCUCAGAGGAACAGUGAGCCGGUCCUGGGGAAUGAACUCUGCCCAAAGCCUUCAGCAAAAACCAAUGCCUCAGACCCAGAGUUCAGCAAGACAUCUCUUUCUACGCGGUUGCCCACAAGGAAGCCACUCACUCCAAAGGCUGUGUGUUCACAGCCCAGCGGCAGCAUCCGGCUGACCUAGGGGCAUCCCAGCACUACGGGGGAGGAAGAAGGUCCUGCUUUACUGCUGUUUUACAGCAAGUAUCCUAACCUGGAACAGAAAGAAGCCUUAUGAUUCCUAAGGACCUUAUGAUUCCUGGACCCAGCAGCUGGGAUCACAGCAGCGCUGGUUACAUCCCUCCCAGGCCCUUCUUCAGUAAGAUAAAUAACUCAACAAAGGUUAAGUCAGUAAA